GAUGAACGCUAGCGGGAGGCUUAACACAUGCAAGUCGAGGGGUAAAUGGUAGCAAUACUAUGAGACCGGCGGACGGGUGCGUAACGCGUAUGCAACAUACCUUGUGCAGGGGGAUAGCCCGUGGAAACGCGGAUUAAUAUUCCAUAGUCCAGCUAUAUCGCAUGGUAUAGUUGGUAAAGAUUUAUCGGCACAAGUUUGGCAUGCGUCUGAUUAGCUUGUUGGUAGGGUAACGGCCUACCAAGGCUACGAUCAGUAGGGGUUCUGAGAGGAUUAACCCCCACACUGGUACUGAGACACGGACCAGACUCCUACGGGAGGCAGCAGUGAGGAAUAUUGGUCAAUGGGCGGAAGCCUGAACCAGCCAUCCCGCGUGAAGGAAGACAGCCUUACGGGUUGUAAACUUCUUUUGUACGGGAAAAACCUUCGAACGUGUUCGAAGCUGAUGGUACCGUAAGAAUAAGCAUCGGCUAACUCCGUG
rnacentral:rRNA from 1 species